GAAAUUAGCAGAUCUUACUUCUCAGAAAGAGUUGUCAGGCAUUGGAAUGGGUUGCCCAGGGAAGUGUUGGAGGCACCGUCCCUGGGAGUGCUUAAGGACAGGUUGUAUGUGGUGCUUAGGGACAUGGUUUAGUGGGCGACAUUGGUACUAGGGUGAUGGUUGGACCAGGUGAUCCUGGAGAUCUUUUCCAACCUUAGU